rnacentral:lncRNA from 1 species
UGCCCUCUAUUUGGAUCGGUUUCCUUGAAGUUGAGAUUGCUAGCUAAUAAGAUUUCGAUUGGAAAGAAGCAUCUCUGCCAAGAAAAUGGCAGUGAUUGUAAUUGAUGAAGCAAAAGAAACACACAAAGGAAAUGAAUUUCCUUACUCUGUGUAUCCAAAUUGCUUUUUCAAGAAAUGAUUGGUUAGUUGCAGCUUUCUUCCUUCCACAAAAUCAGUUACUUUAAUUCUAUUAUUGAUUACAUAUGGUGAAUUCUAAUUGUUAUUAUCAUUUUUGAUGUGCAUGCAAUUGUUGCUUUUGGUUUGUUAGGUUUUAAUUAGGGUUUAACUCCUUAUAAUAUAAUUUUUCGAAA